rnacentral:rRNA from 1 species
AGGCAGCAGUGGGGAAUUUUGGACAAUGGGCGCAAGCAUGAUCCAACCAUACCGCGUGCGGGAAGAAGGCCUUCGGGUUGUAAACCGCUUUUGUCAGGGAAGAAACGUUCUGGGCUAAUACCCUGGGAUAAUGACGGUACCUGAAGAAUAAGCACCGGCUAACUACGUGCCAGCAGCCGCGGUAAUAAGUAGGGUGCAAGCGUUAAUCGGAAUUACUGGGCGUAAAGCGUGCGCAGGCGGUCUUUCAAGACAGAUGUGAAAUCCCCGGGCUUAACCUGGGAACUGCAUUUGUGACUGCAAGGCUGGAGUGCGGCAGAGGGGGAUGGAAUUCCGCGUGUAGCAGUGAAAUGCGUAGAUAUGCGGAGGAACACCGAUGACGAAGGCAAUCCCCUGGGCCUGCACUGACGCUCAUGCACGAAAGCGUGGGGAGCAAACAGGAUUAGAUACCCUGGUAG